UACGUAGGGUGCAAGCGUUGUCCGGAAUUAUUGGGCGUAAAGAGCUUGUAGGCGGUUUGUCGCGUCUGCUGUGAAAUUUCGGGGCUCAACCCCGAACUUGCAGUGGGUACGGGCAGACUAGAGUGUGGUAGGGGAGACUGGAAUUCCUGGUGUAGCGGUGAAAUGCGCAGAUAUCAGGAGGAACACCGAUGGCGAAGGCAGCUUGCUGGGCCACACCUGACACUGAGGUACGAAAGCGUGGGGAGCGAACAGG
rnacentral:rRNA from 1 species